rnacentral:rRNA from 1 species
UACGUAGGGUGCAAGCGUUAAUCGGAAUUACUGGGCGUAAAGCGUGCGCAGGCGGUUCUAUAAGACAGAUGUGAAAUCCCCGGGCUCAACCUGGGAACUGCAUUUGUGACUGUAGAGCUGGAGUGCGGCAGAGGGGGAUGGAAUUCUGCGUGUAGCAGUGAAAUGCGUAGAUAUGCGGAGGAACACCGAUGGCGGAGGCAAUCCCCUGGGCCUGCACUGACGCUCAUGCACGAAAGCGUGGGGAGCAAACAGG